rnacentral:piRNA from 1 species
GCCAAAAUAAGUCGUCCCUCCCUGAAGUU